UUGGGAAAAGCAGUACUUACCA
rnacentral:miRNA from 1 species